GCGGGUCCCGGAAGGCUAGGUCGAAUUCCGCGGCGAAUUCCAAGCGCUCAAGGUAGGGAAGGGCUUGCAGCGCCUUUGGAGUCGGCCGCCACUGCUCUACGGCAGAAGGACGAGAUUGCCACCUGCAGGCUGGGGAGCAGGGCACGCCUGGGCGGGUCUUCUGAAUCCUCCGCCGACAACCUAGGGCCCGGCGGAGUGAGUUUCCACUUCUGCAAUAAAGGCAAACCGGGGACGGCGCGGCUCGGACCAAUCCCCUUCCCUGCGCGCCCCGGCUGUGUGGUACACUGGAACGCGCUUGGACAGAAGGAAAAGUGCCGUGGGCAAGCGUGACAUCGCUUUGGGGGCUUCGCGCAGCUGGAAUGCAAAGGGUUGAACAGUUGCACAAGCAGGCAUGGUACAGUAAAUUUCCGCCACCGCCGAUGACUAAGUCUUUAGAGCUUCGAAAGGAUUUAGAGCAACCUUCAAGAUACAUACAGUAUAGCACGACAAAGGACAUUGAAUAUAGGUGAGGAAAAGAUAGAAUAAAUACAGGAAAUUGUACAGAACCAAGCUCACAGGAAACAUCCUGACCAGGUGGACCUGUGGAUGACUGCAGGGAGGAAGAAAUUAACACAUCUUCUAUGGAGGCUGACUGGAACCAGGAAAUGUUUGACUUCACUCCCUCCCCUUUUAGUAUAAAAGAAGCCUGAAUUCUAACUCAGGCAAGAUGGUUCUUUGGGGGCACGAGUUCACCAUCUUCUUGGUUUGCUGGGUUUCUGAAUAAACUCGCUUGCCCCAACA